AAGUAAAAUUUUAUUACAUACUUAUUCCCAAAGAGGACAGAGAGGUACAUCAAAUAUUCCAACUCAUUGCAUUGAUUACAGAAGAUGCUCACAACCACUUCAUAGAAACUGUACUUGGGUUUUUGAGGGGGCGAGAGGGAAGCAGGUAUGGUAGUAUAUACAUGCAAUCCCAACAUUUACAAGAUGGAGAAGGGUCUCAAGUUUGAAGCCAGCCUGGGCAAUAAUUAAGAUUCUGUCUCAAAAAGCAAAAUCAAAAACCACAUACAUAAAAGACAGUUUUUUUCUUAAGUCAUCAGACUAUCUGGAGUAAACACAUCAUUUCUAAAUAACCUACAAGUCCAAAGUUAACAGUAGCCAGUAGCAAACUAAGAUGGAACUGUCGAACAAGGAUAUUUUUCUGGGUCUUUAAACAUAACUCGGGCUGGAUAGUAACUCCUGAUCCUGCUUCUGCCUCCCAAAUGCUAGAAUUACAAGUACAUGCUGCCUCCUCUGUCAGUCAGAGUGGGCUGUAUCUUUGCCUCCAAAGAAGCGCUCACAGGACUGUCACCUACUGGCCCUAUACAGACCAGUCUUCUUGCAAGGCCACUUCUUCCAUGGCUGUUAUCUAUCAUAUAGGAAGCCAGCCCCUUUGUCCUUCAUUCAGAUGCAGUAAACAUAGGCUCUCUUAAUUGAGCUGAGAAGUUGGUUUUCAAAGCAAGAACCCACAUGAAAAUCUUUAAUAAAUAAACAACCAAAGGUCUUAGAUUGCAGUAUAUGAAAUGUAAUGUCACCUGUAAACCACCAUACUACCAGUCAGGUCUCUGCCAGAUGUUAUGGAUUGCUUGGCUGGUCUACUGUAAUCACGUGAUACAGUACAGCCAGGCCAGUACCCAUAACAGGACUGCCUUCUACCUAGGAAGGUUCCUGUCACACCUCAUAGGGCUGUGCUGGUGGUAAUGGUAAAGGAGAAAACUUUCACAAAGGCCGUCUAACUCCUAAGUUGCCUUCUUCAGCAUGAGCCAGAACUAAAGCACCCAAAUGUGACAUUUGAGACAACAUGAAGCCACAGCACAGCUGUGGAAGACAAGGGAAGAUGUGCCUUGUGGCCUUGGCCUUAUAGUGAUCCAGCCUGGAUGUCAACUCGUCUUCUCCAGAUUCCACAUUCCUUUUCUUCAGGUUAAUGAGUGACAGUGGCUCUCGCCUGUCCCAAUUGGUGUCCCAGACGCCGCGCCCGGCUCGCGCUCCUGUCCAGACCGGCGGCUCGGUCGCGCGCGUGUCUGCAUCCCCGCCACCUCGCGGCUUCCCUACCGCGACCGCCGAGAAGAGAACAGCGGCCGAGCCACCGGCCAGACCACAGGCCGCCAGCUGAAGCGCCUGCCGGAAAGCCAUGCCGCAAA
rnacentral:lncRNA from 1 species